GUUUGAUCAUGGCUCAGGAUGAACGCUAGCGGCAGGCCUAACACAUGCAAGUCGAGGGGUAACAGGGUAGCAAUAUCGCUGACGACCGGCGCACGGGUGAGUAACGCGUAUGCAACCUUCCUUUAACUGGGGGAUAGCCCGGAGAAAUUCGGAUUAAUACCCCAUAACAUCAUGAAGAGGCAUCUUUUUAUGAUUAAAGCUCCGGCGGUUAAAGAUGGGCAUGCGUGCCAUUAGCUAGUUGGUGAGGUAACGGCUCACCAAGGCUACGAUGGUUAGGGGGUCUGAGAGGAUGAUCCCCCACACUGGUACUGAGACACGUACCAGACUCCUACGGGAGGCAGCAGUGAGGAAUAUUGGGCAAUGGGCGCAAGCCUGACCCAGCCAUGCCGCGUGAAGGAUGAAUGCCCUAUGGGUUGUAAACUUCUUUUGUACGAGACGAAACUCCUGGUCGCGACCGGGAUUGACUGUAUCGUGCGAAUAAGCAUCGGCUAACUCCGUGCCAGCAGCCGCGGUAAUACGGAGGAUGCAAGCGUUAUCCGGAUUUAUUGGGUUUAAAGGGUGCGUAGGCGGAAUAAUAAGUCAGUGGUGAAAGCCUGUGGCUUAACCAUAGAAUUGCCAUUGAUACUGUUAUUCUUGAGUAUAGUUGAAGUGGGCGGAAUGUGUAAUGUAGCGGUGAAAUGCUUAGAUAUUACACAGAACACCAAUUGCGAAGGCAGCUCACUAAGCUGUUACUGACGCUGAGGCACGAAAGCGUGGGGAGCAAACAGGAUUAGAUACC
rnacentral:rRNA from 1 species